rnacentral:rRNA from 1 species
CAGUAGCCACGGUAAUACGGAGGGGGCUAGCGUUGUUCGGAAUUACUGGGCGUAAAGCGCACGUAGGCGGCUUGGUAAGUUAGAGGUGAAAGCCCGGAGCUCAACUCCGGAAUUGCCUUUAAGACUGCCGAGCUAGUAGGUGAGAGAGGUAAGUGGAAUUCCGAGUGUAGAGGUGAAAUUCGUAGAUAUUCGGAAGAACACCAGUGGCGAAGGCGGCUCACUGGACGACUGUUGACGCUGAGGUGCGAAAGCGUGGGGAGCAAACAGGAUUAGAUACCCGUGUAGUCCCUGUCUCUUAUAC